CCAAAGGCGAUCGCGGAGCGAUCGAGUGAGUGAGAGAGAGCGAUGGCGGUGAGAGAGAGCGAUGGCGGUGAUGGAGAAGCUCAAGAUAUUCGUGGUCCAAGAGCCCGUCGUCGCGGCCUCCUGCCUCAUCGCGGGAGUCGGUACUAUUCUUCUUUGUUUAAUUUAUUCCUCCAAAACCCUAACAUCGUUCUGUUCUCUUCGAUCUAUCCUUCAUAGUAUUUGAAUAACCACCCUAGAAUAAACCAAAAGGAUACUGUCACUUAAUCUGAUUUAUUUGAAUUAUUAGUGAUUGUUAGUUCCAGUACACUAUGUUUGCA
rnacentral:lncRNA from 1 species